CGUUAGCGGCGGACGGGUGAGUAACACGUGGAUAACCUACCUAUAAGACUGGGAUAACUUCGGGAAACCGGAGCUAAUACCGGAUAAUAUAUUGAACCGCAUGGUUCAAUAGUGAAAGACGGUUUUGCUGUCACUUAUAGAUGGAUCCGCGCCGCAUUAGCUAGUUGGUAAGGUAACGGCUUACCAAGGCGACGAUGCGUAGCCGACCUGAGAGGGUUAUCGGCCACACUGGAACUGAGACACGGUCCAG
rnacentral:rRNA from 1 species